rnacentral:ncRNA from 1 species
UUUGCUUCUUUUGAAGCAACGGCUGCACUAAGAACUACUGUAUCGCCAUAGCGGACGAGUACUGCGCCAUUUGCUUGUUUGGCUAAUUGGCCAACUUCAACUUGUAGCGGACGCCCGCCCCAAGUCGUUUUGAAUACUUGUUUUUCUGUCAUGAUCUGCUCCUUUUUUUCUGAGCCAAGCAAG